AAGAGUUUGGUGCCUUCGGGUACUAUCUCCAACCAAUUGUGAACCAAAUUUGUUGCCUCGACAUCCGAUAGGUACCCAAUAGGUGUACCCAUCCUUCGGUUGCUUGCACCUGAAGAGUGAUGUCUGAGGAUUUUAAAACUUUUUUUAAUCAGUAUCUGAGUUAAACAAAAUAAAAACA
rnacentral:misc_RNA from 1 species